rnacentral:lncRNA from 1 species
CCUCAUACUAGUACUAACGAUGAUGAUGCUAGAUAACAUGUAUCGUGUAUAUCAGGCAUUGUUCUAGUACUUUACAUAAAUUAAUGUUUUAAUCCUCAUCACAACUCUAUGAGGUAAGUACCUUUAAUAUCCCCAUUUUACACAUGAAAAAACCUGGGGCUCAGAGAUGCUAAGUAACUUGCCCAAGCAUAGAAGUUCUAAGUGGCAGAGCUGGGCUUUGAACCCAGGUAGUCUGGCUCCAGAGCUAGGUUAUAGUAUUAGUCAUAAGAGCAACCAUUAACAUUCAUUGAGCCUUAACCAUAUGCCAGAAGUGAUUCUUAAUUCUUUAUGUGUAUAAAUGUCAUCGAUUCUUAUGAAAAUGCUGUCAGAUAUUUAUCAUCCUCAUUUUACUGAAGCACAGAGAGUCUAAGUAACUUGCCCAGAGUUACCCAACUGGUGAAUGAGGGAACCAGGUUUCCAAUCUGUGUGGAGCGCCUUCAGAGGCCACACUCCUAACUCCAGCUCUUCUGGUCUUGCUGACAGGUGCUAUGAGCUUAGCUUUUGCUUUGUGGAACAGGUCCAUACCACUAUUGAUACUUUGAAAGUAUAUUCUGUCUCCCCUGGGAAAAUACCCAUCCAGGGAGCUAUAGAACAAGCACUCCCAGAGAUCUCAUCUGCAGUACACAUCUGUUCUGAUAUUUUUGUUGGCCUGCCCAGCAUCUUCCUCCUCCUUUUUGUAAGACCGCCCUAAUUUCCUGUUGGGGAAUGUAUUUCUUUUCUAUUGUUGCCACAACAAAUGACCAUAAAUUUAGUGGCUUAAAACAACACAAAUUUGUUAUCUUAUAGUUCUGGAGAUCAGAAGUCCAAAAUAGAUCUCUCUGGGCUAAAAUCACAGUGUUAACUGGGCUGUGUUCUUUCUGGAGGCCCUAGGGAGAAUCUGUCUCAUUCCCUUUUUUAGCUUCUUUUUUCCUUGGCUGGUAGUCCCUUCCUCCAACCUCAAAGCCAGCAAUGCCAGGCCAGAUCCCUCUUAUGCUGCCUUCUCUUUGGUGGUUCCUCUUCCACUUCCUUCUUCUCCUCUUAAAGAUCCUUGGGAUUACAUUGUGCCUACCUGGAAAACCCAGGGUAAUAUCCCUAUGUUACAGUCAAUGGAUUGGCAACCUUAAUUUCCCUUUGCUAUGUAACAUAUUCCUAGAUUCUGGGGAUUCACACAUAGGCCUCUUUGUGGUGGGUUUGGGGACAUUAUUCUGCCUACUGCAGGGAACCUUCCCUUUCUACUCUCAGACCGUAUAUUCUGGAUCAGUUCAACCCAACAACGGUGGCUCCCAGCACAGGCUUGGAACUUGGACUGGGAUUCUUGGGAAAGAGAUGCUCCCCUUCUGAUGACCGGUCUGAUCACAGCCCAUCUGCUUGGCAGAUGGGUCAGGAACAGGGCCUCUCCCUGAUUGAUCAGAACUCUUUCUGGACUAGCUGUUAAGUCUUGUGAAUAUCCUUCCUCUCCACUGCCGGCCCAUGCACCAGUAGCUGAUGUGUCCACCUUUGCCCAAGCAUAAGACAAGCUUUCUUAAAAAUGAGGCCUCUUCCUCCUGCUGCUUCUUUAAGGAGAUCCUAUGGAGUACUUGCAAUCUCUAAAAAACAAACAAAGACAACUAGAAUAAGAUCUAUUUAAUGAUGUCCAAAAAAAAGCUUUCUUGGCAAGUUUGGGAUCAGCAAGAUUAGAAUCUGGCAAGGAGUUUACAUAAUCUCUAAUAAGGAUGGAAGAUUCUUUUUCUACUUGUCUUAAAUACAUUCUCUUCAAAAUCUGUAUGCAGCUCUAAAUAAAUGAAGCCUCCUUGAGGGCAUAUUACAGCAUUGUCAAAGAGACCCGCUCAUAUGUAAUGACCUGGAGGGAGAAUGACAAAUGUCUGGAUUAUACCAUGUUUUAAUAUAUUCAUGCUAUAGGAAUGGCCUCAGCCACCACACAGUCACCAAGAAGCCUGGCUGAAGGGCAUUCAGAGAAGUGUAGAAAGGCAGGGGCAUACAUUCUUAUUGACAUUUAGCCAUAAACCUGAUUCCCCUUUUGCAAACCCUUCCCACAUACCUUGAAAGCUUUUGAAUCUCAAGGUCUUCUUGUGGGCCCAAUUCUAAGGUUGGGAAUGGUAGCUACAUCCUGGGAGAAAGAGCCCUAGGCUAUGCAAACAAGUGGGUUAUUGGCUCAGUUUCCUCAGACACAUCAUGCUAGGUAAGGAGAGUGGAGUUUGGGCUGCUGGGAGCUGGGAGCAUCAUCCACUCGGGCAUCAAACUCAAGGUGUGGGUGAAGGCAAGAGCAAAGAAACAGGUAUUUGAGUUGAUCAUCAAGGAGGAGGCAGAAGGAGAAGUGGUCUGAAGUCAAGUCAAGUUCAGGACAGAGAUAAAAGUACCUUGAAUUUCCCCAGGACUUUCCUUAUUUUUUAUUUUUGAGACAGGCUUGCACUCCAGCUUGGGCAACAGAGUGAGAUUCCAUCUUAAAAUAAAAUUAAAUUAAAUUAAAAAGUCAUUUCAAGGAUUUCUGGAAAAAAUUGUAAAGCCAUUUCCAGAAAAUUACCAGAAUUGGUAAAAUUUUGUCCCAUUCCUUACCUGCUGGGCUGGCAUCGUGGGUGUGACUUGUGCAGGAGCACAGGACUCCACACUCAGAAGAGCUGCAUGCUUGGCUGAAUACUCUGCUAAUGCUGUCUCACAGUUAUUAAUUUUUGAACAAGAAGCUCUGCAUUUUUAUUCUGCACUGGCCCCAACAAAUUAUGCAGCCAGUGCUGCCUACACAUGCUAUAUUUAGGAUCCCAGAUGGUGAGAAUUAAUGCUCAGACUGGUGACCCUGAAUCUGUAGGUUUCUGAGUGAUCCAGGAUUCAAUUAUAAUUAUCAUUUUUUUCAUUCAUUCAACAUGUUUAUUGAGUGCUGUUCUAGGUAUCGGGGAUAAAACAUUGAAUCAACCAGCCCUGUCUUCACAGAAUUUACAUCGUGCCACACUUCCUGUGUCUGCCCAACCAACAAAUGACAUUCAUGUAUCAGCUAUUAAUAGGACAUCAGCUACAGACACACAUACCAGCGUGUGUCACAAAUAGUCUAUGUCGGGGAUCACAUGCAAAUCCCAGCAGCCAACAGGAACUCCAGGC